UACGUAGGGUGCAAGCGUUAAUCGGAAUUACUGGGCGUAAAGCGUGCGCAGGCGGUUGUGCCAGACAGAUGUGAAAUCCCCGGGCUCAACCUGGGAACUGCAUUUGUGACUGCACGGCUGGAGUGCGGCAGAGGGGGAUGGAAUUCCGCGUGUAGCAGUGAAAUGCGUAGAUAUGCGGAGGAACACCGAUGGCGAAGGCAAUCCCCUGGGCCUGCACUGACGCUCAGGCACGAAAGCGUGGGGAGCAAACAGG
rnacentral:rRNA from 1 species